GACGAACGCUGGCGGCGUGCUUAACACAUGCAAGUCGAACGGAAAGGCCCUGCUUUUGUGGGGUGCUCGAGUGGCGAACGGGUGAGUAACACGUGAGUAACCUGCCCUUGACUUUGGGAUAACUUCAGGAAACUGGGGCUAAUACCGGAUAGGAGCUCCUGCUGCAUGGUGGGGGUUGGAAAGUUUCGGCGGUUGGGGAUGGACUCGCGGCUUAUCAGCUUGUUGGUGGGGUAGUGGCUUACCAAGGCUUUGACGGGUAGCCGGCCUGAGAGGGUGACCGGCCACAUUGGGACUGAGAUACGGCGCAGACUCCUACGGGAGGCAGCAGUGGGGAAUAUUGCACAAUGGGCGGAAGCCUGAUGCAGCACCGCCGCGUGCGGGAUGACGGCCUUCGGGUUGUAAACCGCUUUCGCCUGUGACGAAGCGUGAGUGACGGUAAUGGGUAAAGAAGCACCGGCUAACUACGUG
rnacentral:rRNA from 1 species